rnacentral:misc_RNA from 1 species
UGCCUGUCAUAAAGUGCAAAAAGAUCUCGCAACCGGUGAAUAACCUGGUAAGCAAUCAGUAACUCCAGUAAGCCAUCUUGCAUUUGGAGUUCCCGUUCAUCAGAACUUGUAUGACCAAUAACAGCUCCAACGAUCCAUAAGAAAUUAUCCAGUACUUCAGAGAUUGACUCAAAAUUUUCAACUGAUGUUUUGCUCGAUGCCAGGUUG